rnacentral:rRNA from 1 species
UACGUAGGGUGCGAGCGUUGUCCGGAAUUAUUGGGCGUAAAGGGCUCGUAGGCGGUUUGUCGCGUCGGGAGUGAAAACCUUUGGCUUAACUCAGGGCUUGCUUUCGAUACGGGCAGACUAGAGGUAUGCAGGGGAGAACGGAAUUCCUGGUGUAGCGGUGAAAUGCGCAGAUAUCAGGAGGAACACCGGUGGCGAAGGCGGUUCUCUGGGCAUGAUCUGACGCUGAGGAGCGAAAGUGUGGGGAGCGAACAGG